rnacentral:rRNA from 1 species
GAUGAACGCUGGCGGCGUGCUUAACACAUGCAAGUCGAGCGAAGCACUUAAGUUUGAUUCUUCGGAUGAAGACUUUUGUGACUGAGCGGCGGACGGGUGAGUAACGCGUGGGUAACCUGCCUCAUACAGGGGGAUAACAGUUAGAAAUGACUGCUAAUACCGCAUAAGACCACAGGGUCGCAUGACCCGGUGGUAAAAACUCCGGUGGUAUGAGAUGGACCCGCGUCUGAUUAGCUAGUUGGUGGGGUAACGGCUCACCAAGGCGACGAUCAGUAGCCGACCUGAGAGGGUGACCGGCCACAUUGGGACUGAGACACGGCCCAAACUCCUACGGGAGGCAGCAGUGGGGAAUAUUGCACAAUGGGGGAAACCCUGAUGCAGCGACGCCGCGUGAAGGAUGAAGUAUUUCGGUAUGUAAACUUCUAUCAGCAGGGAAGAAAAUGACGGUACCUGACUAAGAAGCCCCGGCUAACUACGUGCCAGCAGCCGCGGUAAUACGUAGGGGGCAAGCGUUAUCCGGAUUUACUGGGUGUAAAGGGAGCGUAGACGGCAUGGCAAGUCUGAAGUGAAAGCCCGGGGCUCAACCCCGGGACUGUUUUGGAAACUGUCAGGUUAGAGUGCUGGAGAGGUAAGUGGAAUUCUUAGUGUAGCGGUGAAAUGCGUAGAUAUUAGGAGGACCACCAGUGGCGAAGGCGGCUUACUGGACAGUGACUGACGUUGAGGCUGGAAAGCGUGGGGAGCAAACAGGAUUAGAUACCUUGGUAGUCCGCCCCCGUAAACGAUGGGUAAUAAGAUGUUUGGGUAGCAAAGAUAUUUUGGUGCCGCAGCAAAAGCAAUAAGUAAUCCUCCCGGGGGGUACGUUUCGCAAGAAUGAAACUCAAAAGAAAAGACGGGGGCCCGCACAAGCGGUGGAGCAUGUGGUUUAAUUCGAAGCAACGCGAAGAACCUUACCUGAUCUUGACAUCCCGAUGCCCGCUCCGUAAUGGGAGCAUAUCUUCUGAACAUCGGUGACAGGUGGUGCAUGGUUGUCGUCAGCUCGUGUCGUGAGAUGUUGGGUUAAGUCCCGCAACGAGCGCAACCCCUAUCUUUAGUAGCCAGCAUUUAAGGUGGGCACUCUAGAGAGACUGCCAGGGAUAACCUGGAGGAAGGUGGGGAUGACGUCAAAUCAUCAUGCCCCUUAUGACCAGGGCUACACACGUGCUACAAUGGCGUAAACAAAGGGAAGCAAAGCUGUGAGGCCGAGCAAAUCCCAAAAAUAACGUCUCAGAAAGGAUUGUAGUCUGCAACUCGACUACAUGAAGCUGGAAUCGCUAGUAAUCGCGAAUCAGAAUGUCGCG